rnacentral:rRNA from 1 species
GACGAACGCUGGCGGCGUGCCUAAUACAUGCAAGUAGAACGCUGAAGGAGGAGCUUGCUCUUCUGGAUGAGUUGCGAACGGGUGAGUAACGCGUAGGUAACCUGCCUGGUAGUGGGGGAUAACUAUUGGAAACGAUAGCUAAUACCGCAUAAUAACAGUUGUUGCAUGACAACUGUUUGAAAGGUGCAAUUGCAUCACUACCAGAUGGACCUGCGUUGUAUUAGCUAGUUGGUGGGGUAACGGCUCACCAAGGCGACGAUACAUAGCCGACCUGAGAGGGUGAUCGGCCACACUGGGACUGAGACACGGCCCAGACUCCUACGGGAGGCAGCAGUAGGGAAUCUUCGGCAAUGGACGAAAGUCUGACCGAGCAACGCCGCGUGAGUGAAGAAGGUUUUCGGAUCGUAAAGCUCUGUUGUAAGAGAAGAACGAGUGUGAGAGUGGAAAGUUCACACUGUGACGGUAUCUGACCAGAAAGGGACGGCUAACUAC